GUUGGGUGGAGGAGAUGGGACGGUGGGGCUGAAAAGAAGAGAAACUGGGAGGAGAAAGCACAAGGAGAAGAAGGAGGAGAGAGCAAAGAAGGAAAGGCAGGAGAAGCACGUCAGCGAGCCGGCUCACUCAACACCCAGAAGAGCAGCCAGCAGCACCAGCAAGGUCUUCAUUCUGGAGAGGAUGGCGGUCCUGCCUAGGGGUCCCAAGCCAGAGCAGCCCGGCCGCCGGUGGACGCAGGCACCUGCAGCCUCGCUGAGCUCCCGGAGCCUCACGCACUCUGAACCAGUUGAAGAGGAAAUUACCAAGGAUUUCCCUCACAGAUCUCUCCUUUAAUAGACGGGAAACAGAGGCUCAAAGGAACGAUAUGGCACAGGAGUAGCCAGAGCCAGGCCGGCCCCCCCAAUCCUCACAAACAUCUACUGC
rnacentral:lncRNA from 1 species